GAGGAUUAUGGAAUGGAAGGAAUCAGCUGGCAUAAUAGGGAUUAUCAUGAUAAUAGCUGUUGUAUGCAUCUCAUUAGCACAAAACCAACAGGACUCUGCAGUUUGGAUGAAGAAAGCAAGAUCUCUGGGAGAACACAGAUCACAUGCUCCCAGGCAUUGUUGCCUCUCUAAGGAGCAACAAGAAUGCAUUUCUCUCUGGGAUGACUGGAAUUGGUUCCAUUGCUGUUUACCAAUGGGCAGUUCUCUGAGCUUUUUUCAGAGCUGUGGUUGCACUCAGGGAAGCUGGGAAAAGACACAUCCAGAGGAAAACUGGUAAGCAGUAGUUAUUCACGUUCAGCCAUGCUUUAUCUUUGACUUUUUACCUCUACUCCAUCUCAAGGAGUCAAGUCAUAAUAAUGUUUACCUUUUUCUCUUACUGUAUGCUAGCAUCAUGUUUUAGUUCUGAUAAGUUGUUACAUGAGCAAUGUAUGUGUGCCAUGUGUGUUGUGUAUGUAUUGAUGCAUUUUUAUUAAUACAGGAUGAUAGAAGUAAGUGCAAAGCCUCUUGUGUGUAGCAGGGAUUUGGAUGGGGCACCCUCUAUAGGUGAAAAAGAGACUGCAUCCCCAGCAGGCGUCCCGGCCUCUGCGUGGGUUCCAUCUGCUGGUGAAGCAGAACUGCCUCCAGGUCACAGACAAUAAGGAAAUUUUGGGAUGUCAGGAAGGCAGGCACAAACAACCCAAAUUAGGAAGACUGGGAAACAUUCCGGAUCCUUCCAUCAGCAGCUAUGUGUGCUGUAGUCUAGAGAGCAUCAAGAACUUUCAUGGCCUCACCCAGUGAACAAAAUAAGGUGUCAGAAAUGGAUCAUAUAGCAACUGAUCCAUGUAAAUUUAAAAUAGCUAUUCCUUGAAGAGAAAUAAUAAUUUUAUUUGAAAGGUGGAGUAUCAUAGAGACAGACACAGAGAGAUCUUCCAUGUGCUUGUUCACUCCCCAAAUUCCCAAGGACCCAGGGCUAGACCAGGAUGAAGCCAGGAGCCCAGAAAUACAUCUGUGUCUCCAACUGGGACACAGUACUUGAGGGUCCCAUGUACUUGAGCCGUUAUCUGCUGCCUCUCAGGAUACACAUUAUUAAAAAUUGGGUUGGAAUUGGAGUAGCCAGGACUCAGACAUAGCAUUCUGAUGUGGGAUGCAGGGAACCUAAGCUACAGCUAAAGCGUCUGCCCAAUGCCUGCCCCUAAAAUAGUUAUUGUUGUUUUGUUAAAUAUUUGUUUAUAUUUUAAAUAUUUACUUAGUUGAAAAGCAGUUACAGAGGGAGAGAAGAAGAGAUAGAGAAGAGAGAAGAGAGAAGAGAGAGAGAGAGAGGUCUUCCAUCUGCUAGUUCAGUCCCCAAUUGGCCGCAACAACCAGAGCUGCACUGAUAUGAAGCCAGGACCCAGGACCUUCCUCCGUGUCUUCCCAUGUGAGUGCAGGGGCCCAAGGACUUGGGCCACCUUCUACUGCUUUCCCAGGCCAGAUAGCUGGAUCAGAAGAGGAGCGGCCAGGUCUCGAACCGGCAUCGAUAUGGGAUUUUGGCACUCAGGUGGCAGCUUGUGUACAUAUAUGCAGUUGUACAAGGGACUUCACAAAGUUCAUAGAUCAUACGCAUUACCUUUUAAUUCCAUUUUCCCCACAAGCUCGUAUAUACAAUGAAUGUUUAAUGGAUUUAAGAGUUGUGCACUGUCAGAGCUAUUGUCAGGAACCCCGGUGUUCUAAUGAUUCUUAUCAGUGUCGUUGUGUAAGUUCCUCAGCUGCAUACUUUUCUGAGUCGAAUUACUAUUUCAUAAAGUUUCAUAUAUUAUUUUUCAUAUGGCUAACAUCAUUAGGCACAGUUAAACUUCUGGCACUUGGGAGAUGUUUCAUUUCCUUUUGACUUUUACUAUUCAUAAAGAGUAACUCAAGGUGGAGGGCUCCAAGAUGGCAGAAUAGGUAGGGAGCUCACUGAUAAUCCAGGAAAUAUAGUUUAAUAAAAGUGGAUAGUGUAGUCUGAGGGAAUAGUUA
ensembl:lncRNA